GCUGGGCAUGGUGGUGUGUGCCUGUGAUCCCAGCUACUUGGGAGGCUGAGGCAGGAGAAUCGCUUGAACCUGGGAGGUGGAGAUUGCAGUGAGCCGAGAUCAUGCCACUGCACUCCAGCCUGGGCAACAGAGCGAGACUCUGUCUCAA
rnacentral:SRP_RNA from 1 species